rnacentral:tRNA from 1 species
AUUAGAAUAGUUUAAUUUAAAAUUUUAAUUUGUGGAGUUAAAGAUGUAGUAUUACGUUACUUCUAAUA